CCUCCAGACUCCUACGGGAGGCAGCAGUGGGGAAUAUUGGGCAAUGGGCGCAAGCCUGACCCAGCAACGCCGCGUGAAGGAAGAAGGCCUUCGGGUUGUAAACUUCUUUUCUAUAGGACGAAGAAGUGACGGUACUAUAGGAAUAAGCCACGGCUAACUACGUGCCAGCAGCCGCGGUAAUACGUAGGUGGCGAGCGUUAUCCGGAUUUACUGGGUGUAAAGGGCGUGUAGGCGGGAGAGCAAGUCAGAUGUGAAAACUACAGGCUUAACCUGUAGCCUGCAUUUGAAACUGUUUUUCUUGAGUGAUGGAGAGGCAGGCGGAAUUCCUAGUGUAGCUGUGAAAUGCGUAGAUAUUAGGAGGAACACCAGUGGCGAAGGCGGCCUGCUGGACAUUAACUGACGCUGAGGCGCGAAAGCGUGGGGAGCAAACAGGAUUAGAUACCCCCGUAGA
rnacentral:rRNA from 1 species